rnacentral:rRNA from 1 species
GUGGGGAAUCUUCCGCAAUGGACGAAAGUCUGACGGAGCAACGCCGCGUGAGUGAAGAAGGUUUUCGGAUCGUAAAGCUCUUUCGUCAGGGACGAACGUAUUUCUUGUAAAUAAUGAGAGAUAGUGACGGUACCUGAAUAAGAAGCCACGGCUAACUACGUGCCAGCAGCCGCGGUAAUACGUAGGUGGCAAGCGUUGUCCGGAAUUAUUGGGCGUAAAGCGCGCGCAGGCGGGAUAUCAAGUCUGUCUUAAAAGUGCGAGGCUCAACCUCGUGAGGGGACAGAAACUGGUAUUCUUGAGUGUCGGAGAGGAAAGUGGAAUUCCAAGUGUAGCGGUGAAAUGCGUAGAGAUUUGGAAGAACACCAGUGGCGAAGGCGACUUUCUGGACGAUGUCUGACGCUGAGGCGCGAAAGCUAGGGGAGCGAACGGGAUUAGAAACCAGGGUAGUCC